rnacentral:rRNA from 1 species
UGCUGCAUGGCUGUCGUCAGCUCGUGUCGUGAGAUGUUCGGUUAAGUCCGCUAACGAGCGCAACCCUCGCUGUGUGUUAUAUGUGUCGACACGGGACUGCCGGUCUUUAAGCCGGAGGAAGGUGGGGAUGAUGUCAAGUCAGCAUGGCCUUUAUAUCCUGGGCUACACACACGCUACAAUGGCCAACACAAUAGGUUGCUAAGCCGCGAGGUGGCGCCAAUCCAUAAAGUUGGUCUCAGUUCAGAUUGUAGGCUGCAACCCGCCUGCAUGAAGAUGGAGUUGCUAGUAACCGCAGGUCAGCUAUACUGCGGUGAAUACGUUCCCGGGGCUU